GCGAGAAAGUAUCUUCGGAUAUGAGUAGAGCGGCGGACGGGUGAGUAACGCGUAGGAAUCUACCUAGUAGAAGGGGAUAGCCCGGGGAAACCCGGAUUAAUACCGUAUACCUCCUUCGGGAGAAAGAAGGCCUCUCUUUGAAGCUUUCGCUACUAGAUGAGCCUGCGUAAGAUUAGCUUGUUGGUGAGGUAAAGGCUCACCAAGGCGACGAUCUUUAGCUGGUCUGAGAGGACGAUCAGCCACAUUGGGACUGAGACACGGCCCAGACUCCUACGGGAGGCAGCAGUGGGGAAUAUUGGACAAUGGGCGCAAGCCUGAUCCAGCCAUACCGCGUGUGUGAAGAAGGCCUUCGGGUUGUAAAGCACUUUAAGCAGGGAGAAAAAGUUAUAAGUUAAUACCUUAUAGCCUUGAUGUUACCUGCAGAAUAAGC
rnacentral:rRNA from 1 species